AGCUACGCAAUGAGCACAAAGCGAACUAUUCUUUUGCCUUUUACUAAAGAAUACCGUGUGUUCGUUGCAUUGAGUAACAUAUGUUUAUUUUUGGAGGUGUUCCUAUGGAACU
rfam:Beta vulgaris subsp. vulgaris Bvchr9.sca025.con0114.1, whole genome shotgun sequence.